AGAGUUUAAUCAUGGCUCAGGACGAACGCUGGCGGCGUGCUUAACACAUGCAAGUCGAGCGGAAAGGCCCUUCGGGGUACUCGAGCGGCGAACGGGUGAGUAACACGUGAGUAACCUGCCCUCCACUCUGGGAUAAGCCCGGGAAACUGGGUCUAAUACCGGAUAUGACUCCCCGUCUCAUGGCGGGGGGUGGAAAGUUUUUUCGGUGGGGGAUGGACUCGCGGCCUAUCAGCUUGUUGGUGAGGUAAUGGCUUACCAAGGCGACGACGGGUAGCCGGCCUGAGAGGGCGACCGGCCACACUGGGACUGAGACACGGCCCAGACUCCUACGGGAGGCAGCAGUGGGGAAUAUUGCACAAUGGGGGAAACCCUGAUGCAGCGACGCCGCGUGCGGGAUGAAGGCCUUCGGGUUGUAAACCGCUUUCAGCAGGGACGAAAUUGACGGUACCUGCAGAAGAAGCACCGGCUAACUACGUGCCAGCAGCCGCGGUA
rnacentral:rRNA from 1 species